AAGUGGUCACUCUGUAUUUCAUGUACUUUCCUUUUUGUUGUUUACAUUUGUUCUAGGAAAUGUUAUUAAUUGAAAAUUAAAAUCAGUAGAGCAAUGUCACUACCAACUGGUGUCCACUGGGUGGCAGCACAGGAUAAACUGGAGCCUAAUCAGCGUGACUUCGCCAGAUGAUGUAAUCUACGGCUAAAGAGCCUGAUGGAGUCAAAAUAAUAAAUCAGUGCAGGGUGAAUAUUAUAUCUCUAUCAUUGUUUUGGGGGGAAAUGGCAGCUGGUCUAAUCGUGAGUCCAGCAAGACGAAGCAGCAUUAUCAGAUCAAUCUGUCAUUUUUAAUUUAGUCCAUCCAGCUCAGGGACCAGAACCAGGACAAAAGGCUCUGGUCCGGCUGAAGCCCUGAAGGACGGCAGAACCAGCGCUGGGAGAAACUGGAGCUGAGCAGAGAGCAACUCCAGGCCAAACGGAAAGAAACAGGGAAACGUUUAAAAUAGAUUUAUUAAGAAAUGUUUGAUUUAUUACUGAACAUAAGAAAUAAAGAUAGUUUUACUAAAACCA